GAAUUUUUGACAAUGGGGGCAACCCUGAUCAAGCAACGCCGCGUGGAGGAUGAAGACCCUCGGGUCGUAAACUCCUGUCGGAGGGGACGAAAGCGGUCGCAGCGAAUACCUGGGAUCGUUGACGGUACCCUACGAGGAAGCCCCGGCUAACUCCGUGCCAGCAGCCGCGGUAAUACGGGGGGGGCAAGCGUUGUUCGGAAUUACUGGGCGUAAAGGGCGCGUAGGCGGCCCGGCAAGUCCUUCGUGAAAUCCCACAGCUCAACUGUGGAAUUGCGUGGGAUACUGCCAGGCUUGAGUCCGGGAGAGGAGAGUGGAAUUCCCAGUGUAGCGGUGAAAUGCGUAGAUAUUGGGAGGAACACCGGUGGCGAAGGCGGCUCUCUGGACCGGAACUGACGCUGAGGCGCGAAAGCUAGGGGAGCAAACGGG
rnacentral:rRNA from 1 species